ensembl:lncRNA uncharacterized LOC112975670
AUGCGUGGUCUCUUGUGGCAGUCAGAGUCCCAUGGGAGCAGCUCCCUGGGGUGGAAGGGGAGCACCUGGGGCACGGUGGGUGGGUGGAGGAGCCCCUUGGACAGCAAAGCCAUGGUCAGGGCAAGCAUAAUGGCGGUGCUGCCUGCCAGUGCUGCCCGGUGGUGCUGCGUGAGCCGGGUUCUCUGCGCGGGACUUCCCAGCCUGCUCUCUGUGCAGCUCACCUGCCAGAGCUUUCACUGCUCCGGGGAGAGGUGUUACCAGGACGAAGCCUAUGCCAAUGAAACGAUGACCUGCUACAACAGCUCUUACUGUGAGCUCUACCGAUUCUCCAGUACAAACUACACAGCCAGGUGCAGCAGCGACUGCAGCACAGAGAAUUGCAGGACCAACAGCAGUGUGAGCAUGCAGCAGUGUGCCCUGGACUGCUGCGACUCACCCCUCUGCCUUCAGCUCAAUGCCAGCUUCUAUGGUAACUCCUUGCGGGGCCUGAGGCCGGCAGCUGUCUGAGGGUCUGCGAUUAAUCCUGCUGCACACAAAGGAGAUGGGGUGACAACUCACUGCAGAGGCGUGGCUUCAUCCCUGGGUUUCCUGUGCCCUAGAGAUUUUACUCCUUUGAAGCAUGUGGGGAAGAACAGGGCUAGAGGGAAGGGCUGGCUCAGCAGCUCCCGCAGCAGGAGGCUGUAGAGGGUCACCUUGUGCGUCCGCCGUUCCCCCAGCCUUGGCUGACAUGUAGAGCGGGCACUGGCUGGCCAGGCACUGUCCCAGCUUGGGCUGCAGGCCUGACUCCAUAACCCCCCUGCACAGCACCGGUGUAGCCCCAAUUUAGGCAAAGCUGGGCUGUCCUAUAGCACAGUGUGACCCUCUCAGAUGAAUUUGUACCUAGAGCGAUAGCUGUAUGGGCAUGUGGCCAUGGAGGGCUCUGCACGCAGGCUGUGUCCUGAGCGCUGCCUUACGGGGCUACUCAUAUGUCUGCUGCAGGUGACCUGCCACCCACCACUACGCCAGCUACGACGACAACCACCACCACCACCCGAGCUCCCGCCCGAAAUGUAGGUAUUGGCUGGACGUGGGGUGCUCUCGCUGCAGGCUCUCCUGGUGGGCUGGUGAGGCCGUGGCUGGUGGGCUGCUGUGCUCCCAUCUGAGAGGGGCUGGGCUUCCCUGGGAGAUGGAAAGGGCACAUGGCAAGCCCUGUCCAACAGGCUCAUUUCCAAGCCAGCACUUAGUCGGUUUAAGUGGAUUAAACCGACUGCAUGGUGAACCUUUCUCAUAGCUGCAGAGAGGGUGCAGGAGGUUGGUGAGGCACUGAAGUCUUUUUCCUGAGCCUCAGAGAUGGUGGAGGGGAAGGUGCUUAUCUUUGUGAAGCCACAUUAAGAGGAAGGAAAAGGAGGCUUGAAACUUGUCAGCUAUGGUGGUGUUACAGUAGUUUCCUGCAGAAUUUGAGAUGGGGAGCUGUUAGUCUUUGAUUAGUGCAUCUAAAAUGCCUGAGACAACACUUGCCAAAUACCAAAGGAAAGAGAUGCCCACAAAGAUGGGCAUUCCUGGCUUUGCCCCAGCUCCUGAAGGGGGAUUUGGGAAGGGCAUCUCAGGAAGGAAAGGCUAUCUGAAAUUCAGUUCUGCCCUGGAGGUCCUGCUCUCUGGACUGGUGAAUAUACAAUAUCUCCUCUGGUCCUCCCUUGUAGGGGAAACUGUGUGCAUCGUUCUCCUGUCAUGGGGACGGAUGUUUCAAAGGCAAGAAGACUGUUGCUGGAUGCACUGUCGGGCAUGACUUCUGUGAGGUAUGGUCUUGGGUUUAGAGAGCAGGACGAUCCCUGAGCUGGAAUCUGUGUGCGUCCCCAUAAAGCGAAUGCUAGAGGCUGGGCAGUGGCCUACCAGGCUAACACCUCUCUCCUCCUUCCAGAUGAAGAAGAUGGGUUUGGACUAUGUGGCGGGAUGUAGCAAAGCCUGCAAGACUGCCAAACCAGUCUGUGCCAGUGGAAUGAAGGCGACCUGUUACCAGGAAUGCUGCCCAGCUACCCCGAAGGCCAGCUGUCUGAAACUGGAUGGCAAGGUUCACGUCAAUGGUGCUGAGCAGGUGACUCUGGCCCCACUCUUGAAGCUCCUGGCAUGUGGGAUGGUCUUUCUCCUGAAUUACAGGGUCUCUGCUUCCCUCUGGGAGUAAGCAGCAGUCCUGGUGCUCCACAGCCUGCCCUUGAGCUCAGCAGCAUUUGUUAGGAUUUCUGUAGCUCUCUGACUUCAGCCAAGGUUGCUAUCAAAUGCCCUCUGUUAGAUCAAUGUCCCAGGUGUCUCCUCCCCCUGUUCAGCACGUCAGUCCCAUGGGGCGUCCCCAGGCCUCUGUGAAAACACCCAUGCGGUGGCUGCAGUUUGCUGGCUGGCUCCAGUCUCUACUCGUGUUGUCCUGCGCAGCGCAGGGAAAGGCAGAACCAGCGAACUGCCCUGGAGAGUACCUGAUGGGAUGAAUUUCAGAGCAAACAGCAAAUUAAGAUUUCCCUUUCGCUCUGCUCCUAGAAGAGUCUUCAGCCACAUGUUCAGACUGUCUGCACAGAGACUCCUUCUCCCACUUUUGAGUUGCUCAGUGAAUGGUAGGUGCAUGGGUGGAUAUGGGGCUCCCCGACAGCACAGAGAGCCAGUGCUCUGCUUCGUGCGGGUCGCAAAAAUGACACUGGCUGCCUGCCCGAGCUGCAGAGCAGGGGAGACCCAAGCAGCUGCCCUGCGGGAUGAUCCCCUCUGUGGGGUGGCUGUCCCUUUCCACUGUUAGAGAAGUUUUCUCACUCUGCUCAGUCCCAGUUCAAGCCUCCUCUGGGUUACAGGACAGAAGGACAAAUUCCAGGUGCCCUGGAGCCUUGUGACUAACUGCCUCACUCAGGCUUCUUUGUCAGCAGUCAUUUGCACCCAAGCCAAUACUACUGUGCACAAGGGACACCAAAGGACAUGGUGGAAGCCAGGUCUCUUCGCCCCGUGCUUGUGUGGCUAUUUAGGCAGAAAAGCCCCGUUAUCAGCAAGCUUAAGCAGGAGUAGUUUUCCCCUUGUCUUUCAAUAGCAGCUGAUGCAGCUGCCCUAAGGGCUGAUGCACUGCGGGGUGCAAGCGGCAGGAUGUAGGUUGCUGGCUGGCCUGAGCUGUUGCUGAAGCUGCUCCUGAAGCACAAGCUAGGAAAUCCUCUUUCCCCUGGGGCUGCUCAUGCAGCAUGGUAACACACCACUGCCAGCCUUGCACAACUAGCAAGGGCCACCUCUGCUGUUUCUCUGGCUGGCCCUCAGCGAGAGAACCAAGGUGAGAUCUCCUCUGCUGCGGGCACAGGCUGAGAGCUGCUGGCUCGGCCAGUCUGCUCGUUGGCAGCUACUCUUGCUUUGAGUUCAGUAUGUUUGGCUCAGUAGUUGCCCUGCACAGGACCCCGAUGCUGAUCUCAAAUCCCACCUGCCAUCCCUAAGCCCCACUCGAACUGCGCCUUCCUGGGACUGGAGUCCUGGCUCCCGUUUGGUAUCUUACAUUUCAGUGAACUUCAAAUGCUCCUAGUCGAGAUCCCCUAGUGCACUCAGAGGAAAGGCGCUUAAUCUAUAUGCGUUAAGGAAGCUACAGCAAGGCGUUCUUCCCUGCCAGAAACCUGUAGGCCUGUGUGAUUUGCAAGUUAAUUACAGCUUCUGAGAGCUGCUGCAACAUGCCUCUGCGCUGCGGGGACUGCAGAUGCUGGAAUGAGUGACCUCGGGUGAAGGAGCAAGGGGGUGUUAAGCCUGUUUAAAAAACAGAAAAUUCUGCCUUGACUGAAGACAUAGGGUCUGCUCUAGUUAAUAAUCUGCUUGCAGUGCAGCCUUUCUGGGUGUCCACUUACCAAUUAGUUUAAAACUGCUCUGGUAUUGAAAUGCCUCCUGUCUGGAUAGGUAAAAUUAAUAACACCAUGCUUCCUCUCCAAAUCUUAGACAGGAAAAUGAGAUUUCUCUGAAGUGUCACAUAUUUUAGAUGAUCCUGUCUCACAUCUAUGAUUCUCUACACCUAAAGAUAGAGCAGGGAAUUAGGUUGUAACUGUAAGCAAACCAAAGCCCCCCAAUCCACUCCAAUUUGCCUGUUACUGCAUUGCGUGUAGCUGGUACGUUGCUUGUCACGCGAGAUGCCACCAGCCCGAAUUCACGGAUCAUGCAAACACAAACGCUCCUGUCCUCUGCCACUGUUGUCUCUUCCAAAGAAAAGAUUGUGAAAAUGUAAGUAUAAAUAAAACGUUUCAGUCCUGCUGGCUGGUGACUAGG